UACAGGGGGUGCAAACGUUGCUCGGAAUCAUUGGGCGUAAAGCGCACGUAGGCGGUCUGUUAUGUCGGAUGUGAAAGCCCUCGGCUCAACUGAGGAAGUGCAUCCGAAACUGGCAGGCUAGAGUACUAAAGAGGGUCGCGGAAUUCCCGGUGUAGAGGUGAAAUUCGUAGAUAUCGGGAGGAACACCUGUGGCGAAAGCGGCGCACUGGACCAUAACUGACGCUGAGGCGCGAAAGCUAGGGGAGCAAACAGGG
rnacentral:rRNA from 1 species